UACGAAGGGGGCUAGCGUUGCUCGGAAUGACUGGGCGUAAAGGGCGCGUAGGCGGUUCGUACAGUCAGACGUGAAAUUCCCGGGCUCAACCUGGGGACUGCGUUUGAUACGUGCGGGCUUGAGUUCGGAAGAGGGUCGUGGAAUUCCCAGUGUAGAGGUGAAAUUCGUAGAUAUUGGGAAGAACACCGGUGGCGAAGGCGGGCGCCUGGGCC
rnacentral:rRNA from 1 species